rnacentral:rRNA from 1 species
GACGAACGCUGGCGGCGUGCUUAACACAUGCAAGUCGAACGGUGAAAGCGGAGCUUGCUCCGCUGGAUCAGUGGCGAACGGGUGAGUAACACGUGGGCAACCUGCCCUUCACUUCGGGAUAACUCCGGGAAACCGGGGCUAAUACCGGAUAUGACCUCUACGGGCAUCCGCGGAGGUGGAAAGUUUUUCGGUGAAGGAUGGGCCCGCGGCCUAUCAGCUUGUUGGUGAGGUAGUGGCUCACCAAGGCGACGACGGGUAGCCGGCCUGAGAGGGCGACCGGCCACACUGGGACUGAGACACGGCCCAGACUCCUACGGGAGGCAGCAGUGGGGAAUAUUGCGCAAUGGGCGAAAGCCUGACGCAGCAACGCCGCGUGCGGGAUGACGGCCUUCGGGUUGUAAACCGCUUUCAGCAGGGAAGAAGCCGCAAGGUGACGGUACCUGCAGAAGAAGCACCGGCUAACUACGUGCCAGCCGCCGCCGUAACAC